GUGGGGAAUUUUGGACAAUGGGGGCAACCCUGAUCCAGCCAUGCCGCGUGCGGGAAGAAGGCCUUCGGGUUGUAAACCGCUUUUGUUAGGAACGAAAAGGUAUCUGUGAACAACAGAUAUUGCUGACGGUACCUAAAGAAUAAGCACCGGCUAACUACGUGCCAGCAGCCGCGGUAAUACGUAGGGUGCGAGCGUUAAUCGGAAUUACUGGGCGUAAAGCGUGCGCAGGCGGUUGGGUAAGACAGGUGUGAAAUCCCCGAGCUUAACUUGGGAACUGCACUUGUGACUGCUCAACUAGAGUAUGUCAGAGGGAGGUGGAAUUCCAAGUGUAGCAGUGAAAUGCGUAGAUAUUUGGAAGAACACCGAUGGCGAAGGCAGCCUCCUGGGAUAAUACUGACGCUCAUGCACGAAAGCGUGGGGAGCAAACAGGAUUAGAAACCCGAGUAGUCC
rnacentral:rRNA from 1 species